AGAGUUUGAUCCUGGCUCAGGAUGAACGCUGGCGGUAUGCUUAACACAUGCAAGUCGAACGGGAUGCUUAGGCAUCUAGUGGCGGACGGGUGAGUAACGCGUGAGAAUCUGGCUCCAGGUCGGGGAUAACAGUUGGAAACGACUGCUAAUACCGGAUGUGCCGAGAGGUGAAAGAUUUAUUGCCUGGAGAUGAGCUCGCGUCUGAUUAGCUAGUUGGUGGUGUAAGGGACCACCAAGGCGUCGAUCAGUAGCUGGUCUGAGAGGAUGAUCAGCCACACUGGGACUGAGACACGGCCCAGACUCCUACGGGAGGCAGCAGUGGGGAAUUUUCCGCAAUGGGCGAAAGCCUGACGGAGCAAUACCGCGUGAGGGAGGAAGGCUCUUGGGUCGUAAACCUCUUUUCUCAAGGAAGAAGAAAGUGACGGUACUUGAGGAAUAAGCAUCGGCUAACUCCGUGCCAGCAGCCGCGGUAAUACGGAGGAUGCAAGCGUUAUCCGGAAUGAUUGGGCGUAAAGGGUCUGCAGGUGGAACUGAAAGUCUGCUGUUAAAGAGUUUGGCUUAACCAAAUAAAAGCGGUGGAAACUACAGAACUAGAGUGCGGUAGGGGCAAAAGGAAUUCCUGGUGUAGCGGUGAAAUGCGUAGAUAUCAGGAAGAACACCGGUGGCGAAAGCGUUUUGCUAGACCGUAACUGACACUGAGGGACGAAAGCUAGGGGAGCGAAUGGGAUUAGAUACCCCAGUAGUCCUAGCCGUAAACGAUGGAUACUAGGCGUGGCUUGUAUCGACCCGAGCCGUGCCGGAGCUAACGCGUUAAGUAUCCCGGCUGGGGAGUACGCACGCAAGUGUGAAACUCAAAGGAAUUGACGGGGGCCCGCACAAGCGGUGGAGUAUGUGGUUUAAUUCGAUGCAACGCGAAGAACCUUACCAAGACUUGACAUCCUGCGAAUCCCGGUGAAAGCUGGGAGUGCCUUAGGGAGCGCAGAGACAGGUGGUGCAUGGCUGUCGUCAGCUCGUGUCGUGAGAUGUUGGGUUAAGUCCCGCAACGAGCGCAACCCUCGUUUUUAGUUGCCAGCAUUAAGUUGGGCACUCUAGAGAGACUGCCGGUGACAAACCGGAGGAAGGUGAGGAUGACGUCAAGUCAGCAUGCCCCUUACGUCUUGGGCUACACACGUACUACAAUGCUACGGACAGAGGGCAGCAAGCCAGGGAUGGCAAGCGAAUCCAGAAACCGUAGCUCAGUUCAGAUCGAAGGCUGCAACUCGCCUUCGUGAAGGAGGAAUCGCUAGUAAUUGCAGGUCAGCAUACUGCAGUGAAUUCGUUCCCGGGCCUUGUACACACCGCCCGUCACACCAUGGAAGUUGGUCACGCCCGAAGUCAUUACCCCAAC
rnacentral:rRNA from 1 species